UAUAAUUGUUUGAAGUUGACCCAAAAUUUUAGCAAAACUUGCCAAACUUUCCAAAUUUGAUCUUUCCAAAAAUGGUUUCUUUCUUAUUCUAGUUCUAUCAAAUAAAGGUGUGUUACAUAUAUGUUUCGAAGCAACUUCGAUCUUUCAAGAUGGUGGGCAUCAUAUUCUAAAUUCUAGAACAACACUCCUGCGUUGAAACCACUUCAUGAAUACAAACGAGGAAAAAUCCCAGGUAUUUGAGGAUUUUGUAUAAGUAUGGUCACUUAGGCACCAAACGGAACCAAAACGGAGAAAAACAAGCUGAAGAUGCAAACACACACAUUGCCGAGCACACUUGGCGGUUCGUCGAGUAGCGAAGUUCGGCAUUCUGUUAAAACAAGCAAGCCCUGAAGGAAGUGGAUCAAAAGGCGAUGAACAGAAGAAGUCGGCCUUUUGCCGAAUAGUUCCACAAAGUAUAGUUGUUCCGCCCAAUGUUAUAUCAUGCAUGGAAAAAAGGCAAGGCACAAAAAACGACGAAUCAGAGAAAGCGUGAAUCGCUGAAUUACUCAAAGAAUCAAGAUUAACGCACUGAAUGGAUCUUCCAACACUAGAUCUGAAGCCUAUAAAUACUAAUCUCUUUAUUAUUUUUAGGGAGUUGAACAUUAUUAUAAUUUUUCACUUUUUAGAACUCUAGUUUUUAAGUUUUCUCUCAAGUUUGGAGAGGGUUUUCAGGAAGCUUGAAGAAAGAAGUUCUUCCAAACUUGGAAGUGGGUCUUUUCCAUUUACCUUCCUUUGCCAUUUUUAAGGUUUAAUAUCUUAUACC